CAAGUCGAACGGCAGCACGGGUGCUUGCACCUGGUGGCGAGUGGCGAACGGGUGAGUAAUAUAUCGGAACGUACCUUAUUGUGGGGGAUAACGCAGCGAAAGCUGUGCUAAUACCGCAUAAUCCCUGAGGGGGAAAGCGGGGGAUCGUAAGACCUCGCGCAAUUAGAGCGGCCGAUGCCUGAUUAGCUUGUUGGUGGGGUAAAAGCCCACCAAGGCGACGAUCAGUAGCUGGUCUGAGAGGACGAUCAGCCACACUGGGACUGAGACACGGCCCAGACUCCUACGGGAGGCAGCAGUGGGGAAUUUUGGACAAUGGGGGCAACCCUGAUCCAGCAAUGCCGCGUGAGUGAAGAAGGCCUUCGGGUUGUAAAGCUCUUUUGUCAGGGAAGAAACACCGGCUCUAACACAGUUUGGGAAUGACGGUACCUGAAGAAUAAGCACCGGCUAACUACGUGCCAGCAGCCGCGGUAAUACGUAGGGUGCGAGCGUUAAUCGGAAUUACUGGGCGUAAAGCGUGCGCAGGCGGUUAUGUAAGACAGGCGUGAAAUCCCCGGGCUCAACCUGGGAAUGGCGCUUGUGACUGCAUAGCUAGAGUAUGUCAGAGGGGGGUAGAAUUCCACGUGUAGCAGUGAAAUGCGUAGAGAUGUGGAGGAAUACCAAUGGCGAAGGCAGCCCCCUGGGAUAACACUGACGCUCAUGCACGAAAGCGUGGGGAGCAAACAGGAUUAGAUACCCUGGUAGUCCACGCCCUAAACGAUGCUGACUAGUUGUUCGGGAAUUUAAUUCCUGAGUAACGUAGCUAACGCGUGAAGUCAGCCGCCUGGGGAGUACGGUCGCAAGAUUAAAACUCAAAGGAAUUGACGGG
rnacentral:rRNA from 1 species